CCAUCCAAUCACAGCCUGUUGCCAGGAAGGCUCUGUUGCCAGUGGCCAUCUUGGCAUGGCCUUCUCAUUCCACCACAUGCCCCCAUGCCUGCAGCCUUCCUGUGUCCUUAACAUCUUCUGAGUCCCAGCCCAGAAGCCAGCCUGGGACCCCUGCUGGGCAUGACUGCCCACUUCCUGGAUGCCACCCUCCACUCCCAGUGCCUGCCUCUAGACCAGGAUCCUGUCAGAUUCAAGAUGGCAGCCACAGAGAAAGGAAAAAUGGACAGAAGACUUUGGACGAUUAUCAGGAAACUCUGAACACUGUUGCCCAAGGAGAAGGCACCAGCCCCCACUGCGUUUUCUCCCCACGAGAGGGUCCUGUGUGCACAAACAGCGAAAUCUUAACCUGCAGAACGAAAGACAGCAGAGAACAACUGGAACCCAAACGUCCCUGAGCCCUUUCAGCACAAAGGGUCCACUGGACAAGGAAAUCCGGCGAGGGAGUCCAUCUUACUAUCCUUUGCUGGACAUGGUUGGAUCCCAGGGUGAAGACCUCUCCCCUUGCCGGAAUUUCUCGAGGUUUUCAAGCCCCAAACCUGCUGACCUCAGACUUGGCCUCUUCGCUUGGUUCCCAUGUGUGUCUCCUUCAACACUCAGCGUGAGCACCGUGGCUCAGGAAAUCCUCUAGAGAGCGAGACCCCUUGGUCCUGUAGCAGGAAAACCAACCGAAUGUCUUAAGCCAAAAACGGUAAUUGUUGAUUCAAAGAAAAGUCCAGGGGUUAUCUGGCUUCCGGUAUAGCUGGAUCUGGGAUCUCCAAUGACAUGGCCAGGAAACUGCCGGAGGACUAAUCUCUCACCUUUCCUCUAUGAGGCUCCAAGCUUAGGUGAGCUCUCAUUUGGAGCCCCCAUGGUAGCUCCAGGUUCUUAACCUCCCAGUCCCCAGAUCCCCAACAGAGUGAGAACUUUGUUUUCCCAUUUGUCCCUACAGAAGUGCCAGAGUCAAAGCUCACUAGCCAGAUUUCUGUCACACACAUGCCUUU